AGAGUCGGCCGGACAGUCGCUGUGCCUUUUGGGCGUGGAGGAAAGUCCGGGCUUCACAGGGCAGGGUGCCAGGUAACGCCUGGGCGGUCCGCAAGGGCCGACGGAAAGUGCCGCAGAAAAUAUACCGCCGAUGGCCGCAAGGCACAGGUAAGGGUGAAAUGGUGCGGUAAGAGCGCACCGCGCGGCUGGCAACAGUCGUGGCAGGGCAAACCCCACCCGAAGCAAGGCCAAAUAGGGGUGCCAUGGCGUGGCCCGCGCCGCACCCGGGUAGGCCGCUAGAGGCGGCUGGCGACAGCCGCCCCAGAUGAAUGACUGUCCCCGACAGAACCCGGCUUACAGGCCGGCUCUCACC
rnacentral:RNase_P_RNA from 2 species